CUCCAGUCUCUCCAGGCUCAGCCUCUCUGAUAGUUUUGAUCUCUGCUGUUGCUGCUGCUGCUGGAUCUCUGUCGAUUGUUGUCGUGAUCUGCUGCAUCUGCAGGCGACUCAGAAAAAUUGACAGAGCAGAUGAAACAGUUCAGUCUCGUGAUGAAGAGAUCACUUACGCUGAUCCAAUAUUCUACCAAAGAAAAGCACAGAAAUCGAACAUAAAAGAGGAGAAUGAUGUGGUGUAUGCUGGAAUCGCCUUGAGGAGAUGAUCAAACUUCAGUUUACUGUACAGGAUCCAGCUGUGUGAUCGCUUGCACUAAGAGCUUCGGCCUCACCCUGCAGUUCAUGAGUCUGGUUGAGUUUCGGGUUUGUAAAAAUCACCACAUGUAGCAACAGAAAUUAGCACUAAUUCAGAAAGAUAUUUUUCAGUUUUACUCUGAGUAUUAUGAGGAAAUCCCAGAAGAUCAUUCUGGGGGAUUUGAAGUGUGACAUUCACAGAGCUAAGUGCUUUGUAAUACAGGGACUUGUCUUGUUAAAAAUCCUUUGGCCAGGCUUUAAAAUGAACUUUGGCUAGCAUAUGAAACAGUGUUACUCAUCACUUGAAGCUGUAAUAGCUGCAAAUGGUGGGCCAACUCCAUAUUAAACCCUACGGAUUAAGAAUGGGAUGUCAGCAAAGUUCAUGUGGACGUAAAGGUGUCCCAAAACUUUUGUAUAUAUAUAUGUUGUUUAUCCAACUAAUAUUAUGUAUUAUUUAAUUGCCUACUUACAGCACCAUACAGCCUAUGUUUUGUAAAUACUGUAAAUGCCAGACAGUCAUGACAAUAAAGCUUUGAUUAUAUUUUAUCUCUGUGGCCAAUUUAAUGGGAAGUUCACUCGACAGGGAUUUAAAGGUGAU